rnacentral:rRNA from 1 species
GUCCACGCCCUAAACGAUGUCAACUAGGUGUUGGGUUGGUAAAACCAUUUAGUACCGGAGCUAACGCGUGAAGUUGACCGCCUGGGGAGUACGGCCGCAAGGUUAAAACUCAAAGGAAUUGACGGGGACCCGCACAAGCGGUGGAUGAUGUGGAUUAAUUCGAUGCAACGCGAAAAACCUUACCUACCCUUGACAUGUCCGGAAGCCCUUAGAGAUUUGGGUGUGCUCGAAAGAGAGCCGGAACACAGGUGCUGCAUGGCUGUCGU